rnacentral:tRNA from 1 species
GGGGAUGUAGCUAAGUCGGCAGAGUGCUUGCCUAGCAGGCAUGUGAGGCCCUGGCUCCAUCCCCA